rnacentral:tRNA from 2 species
AGGAACUUAAGUUAUAACACAAACUAGAGGCCUUCAAAGCCACCAAAAAAGAUCACUUUAGUUCCUG